rnacentral:rRNA from 1 species
AUUGAACGCUGGCGGCAGGCCUAACACAUGCAAGUCGAGCGGAGCGGCGGACGGGUGAGUAAUGCCUAGGAAUCUGCCUGGUAGUGGGGGAGAACGUUCGGAAACGGGCGCUAAUACCGCAUACUAUCAGAUUAGCCUAGGUCGGAUUAGCUAGGUGGUGGGGUAAAGGCCCACCAAGGCGACGAGCCGUAACUGGUGUGAGAGGAUGAUCAGUCACACUGGGACUGAGACACGGUCCAGACUCCUACGGGAGGCAGCAGUGGGGAAUAUUGGACAAUGGGCGCAACCCUGAUCCAGCCAUCCCGCGUGGGUGAAGAAGGCCUUCGGGUUGUAAAGCCCUUUUGUUGGGAAAGCGGUACCUGAAGAAUAAGCACCGGCUAACUUCGUGCCAGCAGCCGCGGUAAUUC